rnacentral:rRNA from 1 species
AACGAACGCUGGCGGCAUGCCUAACACAUGCAAGUCGAACGAGACCUUCGGGUCUAGUGGCGCACGGGUGCGUACGCGUGGAAACCUGCCCUUAGGUUCGGAAUAACUCCCCGAAAGGGGUGCUAAUACCGGAUAAUGUCUUCGGACCAAAGAUUUAUCGCCUUUGGAUGGGCCCGCGUUGGAUUAGCUAGUUGGUAGGGUAAAAGCCUACCAAGGCGACGAUCCAUAGCUGGUCUGAGAGGAUGAUCAGCCACACUGGGACUGAGACACGGCCCAGACUCCUACGGGAGGCAGCAGUGGGGAAUAUUGGACAAUGGGCGAAAGCCUGAUCCAGCAAUGCCGCGUGAGUGAUGAAGGCCUUAGGGUUGUAAAGCUCUUUUACCCGGGAUGAUAAUGACAGUACCGGGAGAAUAAGCUCCGGCUAACUCCGUG